rnacentral:misc_RNA from 1 species
GAUGAAGAACGCAGCGAAAUGCGAUAAGUAAUGUGAAUUGCAGAAUUCAGUGAAUCAUCGAAUCUUUGAACGCACAUUGCGCCCCUUGGUAUUCCGGGGGGCAUGCCUGUUCGAGCGUCAUUUCAACCCUCAAGCUUCUGCUUGGUCUUGGGCCGUGCCGGCAACGGCUGGCCUUAAAACUAGUGGCGGUGCCAUCGAGCUCUACGCGUAGUAAUUCUAUCUCGCGUCUGGGCUUCGGUGGACGCUGGCCAGCAACCCCCAAUUUUCUAUGGUUGACCUCGGAUCAGGUAGGGAUACCCGCUGAACUUAAGCAUAUCAAUAGCGGAGGA